rnacentral:misc_RNA from 1 species
AAAAAAUUUUGCCCUAUGUUUCGCCAUAAAUACAGAAGGUAACAAUAGCGCAUAUAGUUUUUCAUAGAAGUUGGGAUACUCUAAGCCAUGCUGAGUCAUGAGGAUGAAGAGGCUGCUAAGGGCCAUUACACUGACAACUCCACCAAUAUCAUAUGAUCUUGUUAAGAAGUCGCAUAACAUGAUCGGAUUAGAGAUAUAAGGAAUGACUGCCUGAUGGAGAGAAAUUAGAACCUGAGUGACAGCACCUGCCUUUGGGUGCUAGAGGCACUAGGCUUUGAGCUUGUUGUGCCUGGAGCCUGAGCCUUUGACAACUACACACAAGUGUUGAAUGGUCAGUAAUAAAAGCUCAGAUUAGAAAGCAAUAAUGGAAAAGAUAAGCUACCAUAAAAAGAUAUGACUACCAAGCAUUCACUCAAUACAUGUUAAGAUGAGAUGAGUCAAGCACCAUGCAUGAAGCAAAAGAAAACUUUCCAUGUGAGAUGAAAGGACAGUCAGAAGUAAGCAAAGUCUUGUUAGAAAAGUAAUGAUGAUAGCAAAAAGAAAAUAAUGAAAACAUCACCACAAAGAAGAAAGGUCCUAAAGAUUGGCCCCCGGGCAUGUGAACUUUGAUUGAUGGAGUUUAUGAGAUAUGACUGCUCAGUUAGAAGGUGCAUUAGGUCAAAACAAGCCGCCAAAUACAGCAAGAUUCUUGGCAAGCUCAAACCAUGAAGCAAGAGCCCAAGUAGUUUUUCUUGGAGAACUAAUGCUAUCCAUUAGGGCUUCUGUUUUAAGUAUAAAGUAAUAUCAAGUUUUUAGCAUACUAAAUUAAUAAGCCAUUAGAUUAAGUUUUAUACAGUACAUAAAUAACACUGCAAUAUCCCAACAAAAAAAUUAAUUAGCAUUUAAGAAAUUAAGAGCACUUCAUUAAAAUUCAAGCAUGGGGACAAAAAGUAGAAAAUAUACAAGCCAAGACCCAACAAUUCAACCCUGCCACAACAUAUCAUCUU